AUUUCCGCUUUGGCAAAAACUGGACAACUGCACCUCACAUCCUGGGGCGGAACCCACAACACCCCAGAGAACUGCAAGGCCCGGCAACUAGUCGCAUUGCCCGGUCAUAAGACUUGUAGGCCUCCAAUAGAGGCAAGUUUCUGUCUCUUCGCUUGAAAGAGCUCUCCUGAGGGUCACUCAUCCUGUACCGGGAAUGGAGCUUUAUUCUAUAGGAACUAAAACCCAUCGCCCUUCUUCAAGGAAAAAGACUGGGUGCUCAGUUCAAUGAACUGUUAAGACAAGAUUGAGUAACUAAGCCAUAGAAACAGGCCUCCAGAGUCCUCUGCCUCCGUCUAGCAGACAGGAGCAGGCGUGGCGAAGAAUGUAAGAAGCAUGGGAGCAUGGGGACACAGACAACACCAGGCCAGAUGUUGUGGGGAGCAGAGGAAGCCUUGAAUGAAGUUCUGAGUGUCUGUGCGCCGUUGGCACGGGCGUGGCCAUGUCGAAAACCAUGAGACCAUAGCCUCAGGGCCAUGAGAACUUUAGAAGCACCAUUAAAUGCCUCCGUGGGUUCCUGAGCACGCCAGAGCUGGAGCCCUCUCAGCUUAUGUCUCUGGAUCUGCCAGGCACGGCUGCCACCCAUGAAGCUGGAUCGCAAAUCUCUUUUUGGCAUCGCCAGUUCCUUAAGAUCGCCUAGUGCAGAGGUGAACAAGCUGUGAUCAACAUGUGUUGUUUAUAAAGUGCCCAUCCCAGGUGUUUUGUUAUAAUGGCACAAGCAGAAUAGACGUGAUCAAUUUUAUCUGGGAAGACUGCAAAUACUAGCUUGAAGCCUUUUCCUUCUUUCUCUAUCUGACAAAGAUAUCAACGAAUGGAGACACAAGGAUAAGGCAUGGUUUUUAAAAAAGUAUUAGGGGAUGGAGAGAUGGUUCAGUGGUUAAGAACACUGGUUGUUCUUCCAGAGGGCCUGAAAGAUUUCCAACACCUACAUGGCAGCUCACGACCACCUAUGACUCUAAUCCUAAGAGUUUCAAUACCCUCUUCUGGCAUUUCCAGACAACUGGGCACAACUUUUAGCCAUGUCUAAGUAAUUCGUUCUCUUUUGCUUGAGAAGCGAGGGCAAGAAGUCUGAUAUUUCAAAAUUACAUUAAAAACCAAGUUUUAGUGUGUCACACUUGGCCCUUGGGUAAUUCGUGUUGUUUGAAGGGAGGAGACAGUUCCCUUCAAACAGAACCACUUAGCUGUGCCAUUGCAGGGCACAUCCCUCCUUCCCCAGUCUUGUGCCAGGCCUCUCCGAGAUUAUUUACUUACUCCGGAAAAUGAAAAAAAUGUCGUGGUCUGUGAACCAUGAGGCUUUAUUCUUAGCUUGUGUAUCGUGUUGGUUUUUCUUCUUCUGCCUUUUUUUUUUCUUUUUAAGGAAAAUCACAAGAAUAUAUAAAAGUUUUUGAUGAAUAGAACCCUACAUUUUUAGGAGAAAAUGGCUGGAACAGUUUGGGGCUUGGGGCCGCCUGUUGCUCUCUGGUAAAAGCUUCCCACAGCCUUGGUUUUAUUCAGCUGCGUGCUUGGUGCCAGGAUUUACAUGGCCGCCGUGGGGGAGACAGCUGGAUUUAGCAUAAGGAGGAAUAACUGCUCUCUCCCUGGAGAGACACAGAAAGGAUAAGCGCAGAAGGUACAGAGACAAUAUUAUCGAGAAUUAUAUUUCUGCUCAGUUCUUUUAUUCACCCUGAAUCCCUGGAUUCUGUUGCAAAUAACAAAAGCGAGAAACUAGUUGGCCUGGAGCCAAGGCCUGGGACUGUGGAGGAGGCUAGUCAGCCCUCACUGGCUGAAGGUUCCGCAUCCUUAAAUCAAUCAAUCAAUCAUAGGUUGAAAGCGUUUUUUAGACAGCAUCUGUACUGAGCAUGUAGGUUUCUUUUCCAUUAUAAUUCUUUAAACAGCAUC